rnacentral:tRNA from 1 species
UCUAAUAUGGCAGAUUAGUGCUCUAGAUUUAAACUCUAAAAAUAAAAUUAAAAUUAAUUUUUAUUAGAA